CGCCACCAGGCCUGGCUAAUUUUUUUUGUAUUUUUUUUAGUAGAGACAGGGUUUCUCCAUGUUAGCCAGGAUGGUCUUGAUCUCCUGACCUUGUGAUCCUCCUGCCUUGGCCUCCCAAAGUGCCAGGAUUACAGGCAUGAGCCUCCGCGCCUGGCCGAAAGGACUUUAAUAACAAGGAUAUUUGAAGUUCAACUUUCAGUUGUUUGCCAUGUGAUGCCACCAUGUAUCCUGGCCUUCAUACACAUCAUCCCAAAAGUCAGAAAAACUGCUGCUGCACCUGAGGCUUAUAAAGGGAGGAAGUCAAGAAGGAGAUGUGACCUAUGUGAGACCAUGCUCUGGAGAAGAGAGACCGCAUCAACAGCCAGACAUCUUUACAUGUAAAUGAUUCAUCAGAAGCAAAAAUUUGGAGUCAGAGAAGACAAGGAGAAAUGUAGUCAUCUCCCCACCCCAACACACUUAGGGCUUAACUUGGAGUGGUUGGGGGCAUGCGAAUCAACUGACUAAGAUAAAAGACAAGGAUGAACGGAUGGAUGUGUGAAAGGAAAAUAAAUCUUGGAGCCCCCAAAUCACUAAGCUAAAGGGAAAAGUCAAGCUGGGAACUGCUUAGGGCCAACCUGCCUCCCAUUCUACUCAAAGUCACCCCUCUGCUCACUGACACAGAUGCAUAUCUGAUUGCCUCCUUCGGAAAGGCGAAUCAGAAACUCAAAAGAAUGCAACCAUUUGUGCCUCACCUAUUUGUGACCUGUAAGCCUCCUCUCUGCUUCAAGUCUUCCUAGCUUUGCUUCAAGUUGUCCCGCCUUUCCAGACCGAAACAGUGUACUUCUUACAUAUGUUGUUUGAUGUCUCGUGUCUCCUUAAAAUGUAUAAAACUAAGCUGUGACUGAGCACCUUGGGCACAUGUUGUCAGGACUUCCUGAGGCUGUGUCACGGGCACAUCCUCAACUUUGGCAAAAUAAACUUUCUAAAUUAACUGAGAUCUGUCUCAGAAUUUCUGGGUUCAUAGAUUGACAGGGAAUUUUUUUUUUUUUUUUUUUUUUUUUGAGACAGGGUCUGGCUUUGUCACCCAGGCCAGAGUGCAGUGGUGCAAACUCAGCUCACUGCAACCCCUGUCUCCUUGGCUCAAGUCAUCCUCAGACCUCAGCCUCCUGAGUAGCUGGGACAGCAGACAUGUGCCACCACUCCCAGCUAAUUUUUUUUUGUAUUUUUUGUAGAGAUGGGGCUUCACCAUGUCACCCAGGCUGGUCUCCAACUCCUGAGCUCAAGCGAUCCGCCCACCUUGGCCUCUCAAAGUGCUGGGAUUACAGGUGUGAGUCACUGUGCCCGGCCAGCAUUUCAUUGUCUUUUAUGACAUUGCCAUUUUUGAAAAAACAAUCCCUUUUUUAAAAAAAAAACUAGAAUGUUCCUUAUUUUGAGUUUGUCUGAUACUUCCUCAUGAUUAGUUUCAGAGUAUGCAUUCUGGCCAGAAUAGCACAUUAGUGAUGUUGUCCUCAGGGAGUCACACCUAGAAGCAUAUAAUCUGUGUGUCAAAUGCCCCUUAUUUGUGAUGUCAAUUUUGAUCUGCUGGUCAAGGUAUUGUCUGAGUUGUUCAAAUGAUAGUAGUUUUUUUCUCUUAUUCCUAAUAAGCAAUCUAUGGGAAGAUAUCAUAAGGUCAUCCAAAUAUCCUGCUCCUCAUCAAAAAUUUAUCUCUAGAUUUAGCAUCUAUUGAUAAUUUUUGCCCAAAUGAAUCAAUAUUUACUGUGUUGGCAGAAAAAAAAUGAAGAUUUUCCAGUUCAAUUACUCUUUUCACAUUUACAAUUCAGCACUUGGCAUUCUUGCAUAAGCAAGACCUCUUCUUUCUUUACAUAUUUAUCUACAUGUUAUUAGCAUGGACUAAUGAAAUUACUAGGUUUUUUUGUUUGUUUGUUUGUUUUUUCCCAAUGGUUGGUGCUCAAAUUGUCCUAUAUUUGAUGAAUGGGAGCCCCUUCAAGCUGGCUCCUGUGUUCUCGUGUCAUGCCCUAUCAUUUUGAGCAGUUCCUUACUCUUUGACCUAAUAAGUUGCUUCAGGCUCACCUUGUACCUUUUCUGGCCCACCCAUUUCGUCCAAGAGCCUUUGAAGAAAGGCUCUUUACUAGGGAAUGGUGUCAGAAUCCAACAUCUGAGUUCUAAGUCCUAAUAAUGUUUUAAGGAUAGAUUCUUAGGAUUAUAAUUUUUUUUUUUUUUUGGUCACAGUAUAGUUUUGGAGAUUCUUUAUAUGUAUCACCAAACUGCUUCCUGGAAAUGUACUGAUUUAUUCUCCUACCUGCAGUGCAUAAGAACGCACUUCUCUUUCCAUGCUCACUAACAUUACCUUUUUCCUAACUUUUCAGGUAGAAAAGUAUAUAAUAAUUUUUGUUUCCUAGAUGAUGAUGAUGAUUAUUAUUAUUAUUAUUAUUUGAGACAGAGUCUCCCUCUGUCGCCCAGGCUGGAGUGCAGUAGCUCAAUCUCGGCUCACUGCAACUUCCGCCUCCCAGGCUCAAGUGACUUCCCCAGCUGAGCCUCCCAAGCUGGAAACGUAGGUGCCAUAACACCUUGUCUAAUUUUUGUAUUUUUUUGCAGAGACAAAAUUUCGCCAUGUUGCCCAGGCCAGUCUUGAGCUCCUGGACUCAGCUAUCUACCUGCCUUGGCCUCCCGAAUGUUUCCUAGAUUACUAAUAAGGUUUGUUCAUUUAUUACCUGUUUUCAUUAAAUUAUCUGUUCAGGCUGGGCGCAAUGGCUCACGCCUGUAAUGCCAGCACUUUGGGAGGCCAAGGCGGGUGGAUCUCCUGAGGUCGGGAGUUUGAGACCAGCCUGGCCAACAUGGUGAAACCCUGUCUCUAAUAAAAAUACAAAAAUUAGCCAGGCGUGGUAGCCUGCACCUGUAAUCCCAGCUACUCAGGUGGCUGAGACAGGAGAAUCACUUGAACUCGGGAGGUGGAGGUUGCAGUGAGCUGAGAUUACGCCACUGCAACUCCAGCCUGGGCACCACAGAUUGGGACUCAGUCUCAAACAAAAAUAAAUAAAUAAAUAAAUAAGUUAUCUGUUCAUAUUGUGCCUACUUUUAUCAGAGCUUACAGUUUUAUAUCUGUAUGAAGUGUUCUUAUAUUUGGGACAAUGAUUUUGCUAGCUUAUUUACAUUUAAAUUUUCUUUGUACUUUUACUUUACAUUCAAGUAUUUGAUGUUUAUAUUGAGUCAAAUCUGUCCAUCCUUUCCUUUGUGAUUUUUUUCCCAUUGCUGUAAUGCUUAGGGUAUAUUUUUAUAGAGCAAUAAUAAAUAUUUUAGUGUUAAUUAUAUUCUUGCUGCCCAAAUUAAAAAAGACUCUCUUUUUUUGUGGAAAAGAGUGGAGAAGGAAGAGUGUUG
rnacentral:lncRNA from 10 species